CCUGUAUUUCUACGCUACAAAUUAUUAUUAACGCAUGCGCAGACUCACAAUAAUUUAUCGAAGAGAACAACACGUAAGAGAAAUUGCUCAGGAAAGAAUCAACAACCAUCGCACAUAUUGUUGACUGUAACCUUUUUGUCGUGGGUAUUGUAGCGGAUAUUCCUUGUGACGGAAAUAAAAGAUUAUUUACUUUAAUAUUCACUUGGAAAGGCUGGUACAUGUAGCUAGAAAAAAGUACAGUAUAAGAUUAAAGAAAGACUAGAAGAUUAUUACAAACAACAGGUGGACAUGUGUCACUGUCAAGCGAAUGAAGAUAAGCAUCACACUCGGUGGGAAUCUCCAGUUUCCAGAUGUAGUGAUCAUAACUGUAUAGGCACCAUUAACACUUUGGACUAGUUGGAGUAUUUUAGAGGGCUAGUCUGAAUUGAAUCCCCUGUCAAUAGUCAAGGCCAGUCAUGAACAUUGUGUUGAAGGAAAAUGUUAAAACUCGGAUUUUCCGCUUAACCAAUCAUUACUUUACCUUAUAUUCAGUGCGGUAAUGUAGGAAAUGGUUACUUUCUGGAACAGAGCUGUCAAUUAUUUUUAAUUUAUUAGCUUGUUAGUGUUAUCGUCGGACAGUUGUGAAGUAAAAACAUCAUAGUUUGACUGUAUACAAGUUGCCUUAAAGAAAGUAUGUCGAAAUCUUAACAGUUAUUCGUUGAUUUUGUAGAAAUUGACUAGAAUUCACCUUUGUUUACAUGCAUCGCUUGGACGUCGAAAACGACAUGCAAUGACAUUUCAGUGAAAUUUGGAAACUUGCUCGUAUUUUGGAGCAUUUUGUAGGAUUUCGAUGAAGUAAAAAGUGUUUAUGAUAGGAUACAUUAUUCCUAGAGACAACCAUAAAGAUAAAAUAGUGAUCUGGUGUAUUUUUACCGAACAGUUCUUGUUUGUUUUGCAUGAUAUUUUUCUCUCGUUAGGGACCUUUAUUCUUUAUAUAUAGUAUUAUGAGCAUAUAUAUGGGUAAAUGUGGUAUAUAGUGCCUGUGGUUUUAACAUGUAUCUUAGCUUGCCUGGUGUAAUGAUAAGUAAUAAACCUGAGAAUUGAAACUAUGAGAAUAAAUUGUUGUUAUUUAAGUCCCCUUCUAUUUUCAUUAAGAGGGGACUAAAGGCUGACCCAUUUCUGUAUGUCAAUGAAAGCUGAACUUUGCUAUAACUUAAAUGGUACAAAAGUAAGGUUCAUCAUACUGGUAUCUGAUAUAGAACUAUACAGAGAUUUAGCAUGUUAUUAUAAUUUAUGCUCCUAUGAUUCUGGAUAAAUAUCUGUGUUCAUUCCAUACAGACUUGUACUUUUGGGGAAAAAGGUUGCUCAUGGGAGGAAAAUAUGUUUUUAAUGGUGUUUUUGAGAUUUUAGUUGAUAAAGGAAAAAAAAACAUAGUCUGUACUUAGGAAGACAUUUGUCCUUCACACUCUUGUCCGAAAUAUGAAUAUAACUAGAUAUGUAUUGAAGGGAUUUUAUGUAAACUUCACAAAGUGAUAGAGACUUUUAAGAGGAAGUGCAAUGUUCAAGAAACAUAACUCUACCUUGCUUCAUGUUUUAAUUAUAUUCCUUAAGUUAAAAAUGCUUAUUCCAAACUAUCACUGAAUCUACAUCAACUUGAACGACUCGAAUUUUCCAAUGUGUCAAAGAACCAUAACUCCAUUCCUUAGUUUUUAGCUCACCUGUCACAAAGUGACAGGUCAAGCUUUUGUGAUCCCUUUUCGUCCGGCCGUAAACUUUUACUUUAAAUGACAUCUGCUCAUAAACCACUACGCUAAUUUCAUCCAAACUUCACAAGAAUGUUCCUUUGGCUGUCACCUUUAAAAAAUUGUGCAAAGAAUUUAAUUCCAUGCAGAACUCUGGUUGCAAUGGGAACCGAAAAGAAAAAAACUUUAAAUAUCAUCUUUAAAAAAACCCUAAGAGCUAGAGCUUAGAUAUUUGGCUUGAAACAUCCUUUAGUGAGUGUCUACCAAGUUUUUUAAAUAAAAGCCCUGGGGUCAAAAUUGGCCCCGCCCCAGGGGUCUUUGUUUUUCCCUAUGUGCAUAUAGUAAAAACUUUAUAAAAUCUCCUUUUAAAGAACCCAAAGAGCUAGAGCUAAGAUAUCAAGCAUGAAACAUCAUCUAAUGAGUGUUUACCAAGUUUGUUCAAAUAAAAGGCCCGGGGUCAAAAUUGGUCCUGCCCCAGGGGGUCAUUAAUUUUCUUUAAAUGCAUAUAGUAAAAACUUAAAAAAAUCUUCUUUUAAGAAACUAAAAGAGCUAGAGUUAAGAUAUUUAGCAUGAAAUAUCUUCUAGUGAGUGUUUACAAAGAUUGUUAAAAUAAAAGCCCUGGGGUCAAAAUUGGUCCUGCCCCAGGGGGUCAUUAAUUUUCUUUAAAUGCAAAUAGUAAAAACUUAAAAAUCUUCUUUUAAAGAACCCAAAGAGCUAGAGCUAAGAUAUUUAGCAUGAACAUCUUCUAAUGAGUGUCUACCAAGUUUGUUCAAAUAAAAGCCCCGGGGUCAAUAUUGGCCCUGCCCCAGGGGAUCAUUGAUUUUCCCUACAUGCAUAUAGUAAAAACUUCAAAAAUCUUUUUUAAAGAACCCAAAAAGCUAGAGUUUUUAUUAUAAGUUGAAACAUCUUCUAGUGAGUGUCUACAAAGUUUGUUCAAAUAAAAGCCCUGGGGUCAAAACUGGCCCUGCUCCAGGGUUGUCAUUGUUUUUAACAGUAUAUGUUAGUAAAAACUUAAAAAAUCUUCUUUAAAAAAACCCAAUAAACUAGAGCUUUGAUGUUUAGCAUGAAUCAUCUUCUUAUGGAUGUCUUCCAAGUUUGUUCAAAUAAAAGCCCUUGGGUUAAAACUGGCCCUGCAGGGUGGGGGGGGUGCUUUUUAUGAAUGGAAUCAAGAGAGAUGAAGUCUAAAAUGUGAUACUGUCAAUGUGACUAACCUUGAAGUAAACAGAUGACACAAUGUUUUUUCAAUGUCAUGGGCAUAUAAUGAAGAGGUACAUGAUUAUUUGUAUACACUUUUCCUUAAUAAAUACUUUCUAAAUGUUUGACAUGUUUAAAGGCCAACACAGGGCUCAAGGUUUAUUUAAAAUCUGUAAGCUUGGCACUUAGAGCCAAUUGUAUAUUAAUUAUUUCAAUAUCUUUAUUUAUCAUUAUGCAAUCUGUUGUUAAUUUAGGAACAAAAGUCGAUAGCAAAAACAUUUUAGCCGUGUCAUGACGAAACCAACAUAAUGGGCAUCCGCCCAGUCUGAUCAGGAUCCAUACUGUUCGCUAUCAGUUUCUCUACUUGUAAUAAGGUUUGUAAGCGAACAGCAUGGAUCCUGAUCAGACUAACCUGGUCUGGAUCCAUGCUGGUCGCAAACCCAUAAUGUUGGUUUUGUCAUGACACGGCUCAUUUGUGACAUGUAAUUCACUUAAAUUGUAUUUUAUUUUGUAUAUAUAUUUCAUCUUCAAAACAAUUAAAGUAAUGAUUAUAAUAGCAUUGAUUUCAUAUUUGUUUGUCUUAAUAAUUAGCUUUGUUUUAAAUAUAACAGUGUAGUUUUUAUUGUUGGUUUA